ensembl:lncRNA
AGCGAACGCAAUACCGCCCCCGCUGCUCCGAUUCUCCGGCCAAUCUCACGCUCCAUAGUACCCUCACUCGCAAACAAGACCCCGAGGUACUUGAACUCCUUCACUUGGGCUAAGGACUCAUUUCCUACCCGGAGUAAGCAAUCCAUCGUACCCUCACUCGCGAACAAGACCCAGAGGUACUUGAACUCCUUCACCUGGGCUAAGGACUCAUUUCCUACCCGGAGUAAGCAAUCCACCGGUUUCCUGCUAAGAGUCAUGGCCUCAGAUUUAGCGGUGCUGAUCCUCAUCCCAGCCGCUUCACACUCGGCCGCCAGCCGAUCCAGUGAGUGCUGAAGGUCACAGGCCGAUGAUCCGAUGAGGACCACAUCAUCUGCAAAAAGCAGUGACGAGAUCCUCAGACCACCGAACUGCAACCCCUCCCCACCACGAC